rnacentral:rRNA from 1 species
GCACAAGCGGUGGAGCAUGUGGUUUAAUUCGAUGCAACGCGAAAACCUUACCCACCUUCGACAUGUACGGAAGUUGCCAGAGAUGGCUUCGUGCUCGAAAGAGAGCCUUAACACAGGUGCUGCAUGGCUGUCGUCAGCUCGUGCCGUGAGAUGUUGGGUUAAGUCCCGCAACGAGCGCAACCCUUAUCUUUAAUUGCCAGCAUUCAGUUGGGCACUUUAAAGAGACUGCCGGUGUUAAACCGGAGGAAGGUGGGGAUGGCGUCAAGUCCUCAUGGCCUUUAUGCUUAGGGCUACACACGUGCUACAAUGGGUGGUACAAAGAGAAGCCAACUCGCGAGAGCGCGCCAAUCUCAAAAAGCCAUCCUCAGUUCGGAUUGGAGUCUGCAACUCGACUCCAUGAAGUUGGAAUCGCUAGUAAUCGCGGAUCAGCAUGCCGCGAUGAAUACGUUCCCGGGCCUU